rnacentral:lncRNA from 1 species
CCUUCUCCAGGAAGCUUCCCUGACUGCCAGGCUGGGCUAGGUUUUCCUCUCCUGUUCUCCCACACUGUUCAAAGACAAUCCUGUCCAAGAAUGAAAAGACCACACAGAAGGCAGGCAGAGAAGGCCAGUCUGGGAGGUCACUCGGAGGAACGCCAAGCUGGCUGUUGACGGCACAAUAGUUACCUGACCUUCAACUUCCACUUUUGACAGGCGUGCAUUCUGUCGCCCAGCUCCUGUUCUUGAAAUGUGCAAUCCCGAUGGCAAAGGAAACUCUCCCGUCCUACCCCGAGCUCGGGAGCGUUUUCAUAACAGCGUCUUUGUGGGCUCCUUGAAUGUCUGCCAUGCCAGGGAGGCCGCGCAUUCCUCCGGCGGCCUCGCUGGGCUUUGAGGAAGUCUGCUGGCGGCGGGCCCCACUUUGCCGGAGGUGGGAGGGCAUGUCGGAAACGCUGCUCUUAAUCUGCCCAUCUCCCCUCCAGCCCCCAGCAGCCCAGGAGGAGGGGCUGAGAUAAAGCCACAGGCGGCAGGCAGGAGAUUAAGAGCUGCUGUUUUUAUCGCUGUUCUCACAGAGCCGCCUGGAACGGGGGCGUUAGCAAGCUGGGCGUGGGGGGCGGGGCGUGCGGGGGCACUGGGAGGAUGCUGGCGCCACCCGGCCCUGCAGCCCCGCGGGUCCCUGCCUGGAGCCACUUGUGGGCAGCUGUGACGAGGAGUAAAAGACAAAAAUGAUCCUGGAUGGUGUGCAGGGGCUCGAGUGGCGAUGUGAAGGUGCAGGAGUAUUAAAUGGGACUGUGAUGGCAUUAAAGGCAGGAACCUUCCCCGUGCGCUCACCAUGUUCCCGCCCUCGAUGAAAUGUUUGUCACCCAUUACCCUCAUUGAUCCUCGCGAGGUAGACACACAGAGCGGAGAUAAGGAGAAGACGGCCAUGUGAAGACAGAGGGAGAGAUGCUGCCACAAGCCAAGGAAUGCCAAGAAUUGCUAAAACCUGCCAGAGGCUGGGGGAGGCGCGCAAGGGCUUUCCAUAAAGACUUCAGAAGGAGCCUGGCCCCGCGGACACCUUGAUUUCAGACGUCUAGCUUCCAGAAUUGUGAGAGAAUAAACUUCCAUUGUUUUAAGCCACCUGGUUUUGGGUACUUUGUUACGGGGGUGACGGAAACUAAGACAGCGCCUCAUCGUAGUAGAUGCGGUCAGUGCCUGUCCAGCUUCUCCGGGCUGCCCUGGAACUCUUCUGCAGCGUGGUGUACACAGUGGGGGUCUUCACGGGCGCCAGGGUCUCUCUGGCUGCAGGCUUUCUCUGAAUGCAGAAGUCAGCUCAGCUGGGCACAGAGCGGGCUGCAACUGCGCAAGGAUUAAUGCCCCUGGGAGCAGCCCACAGCCAACAAGGGCUGGGAGUCACUGGGUAAACACCCAGCUUCCUCACCCCUGGGUGGGACAGUUUUGAGCUGUGGGACACACAUCUCUCAGAUGUGUCCAGUGGGACUGAGCCCCAUUCCCACAGUGGUAACCUGUUUGUUAACGUUCCCUUAAUGGGCGUCCUCCCAUCCUAUCUCCCUUCCUUACUGUCCUGCUGGUGCUUCCUGGGAUCAGCUCCUAAAUCGACAACUUGUAUCGUCUCGGGUCUCAUCUUAGCUCAGCUUUCCGGGAGACCCAUAGAACGACACUCAAAGGGCAGCUGCUUUCUCUUCCUGGUCACAAAGAGAAGGUCAGGUGUUGGCAUCUUCGAGCUAAAUGGACCAGUAGCUACUCCUCGACCACGUGGUAAAUUUUGAAGACCAUGAAGGCCCUCAAAAACUGACACAGCAUCUCAAGGAGAAGAUGACAUCGGUGACAAUGAAGACAAUGAGCUGCUUGCUUAAAGGGCCCUGGCUGAUUGUUCACGUGACAGCAUUCCAUUACGAAACUCUCUGCAUCGCUGUCCUGCGGGGAGAGACAUUUCUGCAAUUUGCCAGGGACCCUGGCAACGAAAUACUCACUCAGACUCACUGUUCUUUCUGGUGGAGAUGUCUCCUGUUUGACCUGCAUCUAAACGGUGGAUCCUGUCAGGAGGAAGCGCGUGGAUCUGUGAGGGUUCCUGCUCUUCUGUCUUAGACCAUCUGCUCUGGGUGAAGAGAGCAGAGUCUGCAUUCCCUCCAGGGUCCCCCUUGGAGACGCAGAGGCAGAGAAGGACGUCUCCUCUGGGCUGGUCCUUCGGGAGAACGGGGAGGAACUGCGUCCCUGGAAAGUUUCCUGCUUCCACCUUCGCCCAGCCUGCCCUUGAGGUGGGAGAGGCGGGCGCUGUUGCAGCUUCCAAAGGACCAGAGAUGGCAGAUUUGUACCUUGAAGCUGGCUUGGGCUCCGUCCCCUUGGCCAAGUUGCUUUUCAUUUCUGGUUUCCACAUCUGUAAGAAAAAGCAUCUGAAACUUGGAAAUAAGGCAAAAGGAUGACCAUGUGUCCUUUGAAUGCCAUACCAGAGCACUGACUGAGAGGCCCGCCCAAGGGUUAUCUAAUUCUUGAGGGCGCAGGCCAAAUCUGGCUGCCGCCUGUUUUUGUAAAUAAAGUCCUGUUGGCACACAGCCACGCCCAUUCAUUUACAUAUUGUCUAUGCUGCUUCCACUUUACAACAAGGCCGAGUCCAGUUGUUGCAACAAAGGCCAGAUGGCCCACAAAGCUGAAAAUUAUUUACCGUCUGCCCCUUUUAUAGAGGUUUGCUGACCCCUACUCUAGGGGAUCGUAGCAUUGUUGGAUUUACUAUUUAUUACUCAUUCAGGCCCAGACACUGGAAAGCAUGAUGCUAAUUUGUGGAAGAUUGAUAACUUGCAAAUGAUUUUGGUCCAGCAGUCAUGAAAAUGAUUUCUGUGCCGUAUAAAAGAUACCCCCAAAGAAUACGAUUUUAUUGACCUGUAGGAGGACAUUCAUCAUUUCUGUGUCCAACUUGGCAAUCUUAUUCCAGCAUUCUUUCUGUUCUCCACUGUAUUGACUUUGGUCUCUCCCAUAAGCCUUUGAACCAGCUUUCCUAUCCUGUUGGCUUCCUCAUUAAUAAAUUAAUAAAUAAUAAUAAUACAAAAAGGUUAAA